GACGAACGCUGGCGGCGUGCUUAACACAUGCAAGUCGAACGGAAAGGCCCUGCUUUUGUGGGGUGCUCGAGUGGCGAACGGGUGAGUAACACGUGAGUAACAUGCCCUUGACUUUGGGAUAACUUCAGGAAAAUGGGGCUAAUACCGGAUAGGAGCUCCUGCUGCAUGGGGGGGGUUGGAAAGUUUCGGCGGUUGGGGAUGGACUCGCGGCUUAUCAGCUUGUUGGUGGGGUAGUGGCUUACCAAGGCUUUGACGGGUAGCCGGCCUGGGAGGGUGACCGGCCACAUUGGUCCUGCGGUACGGCCCAGACUCCUACGUUCGGCAGUAGUGGGGAAUAUUGCACAAUGGGCCGACGCCUGAUGCAGCAACGCCGCGUGCGUGAUGACGGCUUUCUGGUUGUAAACCGCUUUCGCCUGUGACGAAGCGUGCUUGACGGUAAUGGGUAAAGAAGCACCGGCUAACUACGUG
rnacentral:rRNA from 1 species